GUCAUCUGGGCGCGCGCUGGUUCCUGUCUAUGACAGGCCAAGAGGGAAUGCGAAGGGGUCUUGGCCCCGAACGCAGCCGCCCCCGCGACCGUGACCGGGAAGGUCCGCGAUGCCACUGGGCCCCCCAAGGGCCUGGGAAGGAGCGCGGCGCCGCCGGGGCCGAAGGCCCCGAUAUCCGCAAGCCGGGAGACCUGCCAGCGUCAAGGAAGCAAC
rnacentral:ncRNA from 1 species